UAUUCGAAAAAUAGAAUAUGGUUAAAAAUUGCUGAUGUGAUAGAGGAUUCAAGUACCAUUUACAAACAAAAUAUUGAAGAGAAUGUGCUCAAAGGAACUGCAUAUGAAUUCAUUUUUGUUGACCAGGAUGGAAAAAUUCUUUGGAACCCAUAGAUAGAAUAAGUUAGUUAGGCCUAGUGGUGUACCAGCCAGAAGUAGAGGAUGACAAAGAAAAUCAACUAUGAAUAAUAUUCCAUGGAUAUAAUUCAUGUAUGAUGUAGUAGCCUACAGAAGAAAGAGAUGGACAAAUCUAAGAAAUAUAUUAAUUUUUUCAGUAAAUCUUGAUGUGUUUAUUUCAUGUUAUUCAUAAUAAUAUCCUCUUUGGGGGGGUUGGGCGAUCGCUCCUGCUAACUGCUUCAAUUCAGGUAGUUUAAGAAAACAGCAAGUGACAUGAAGCUAAUAAAAUAAGUUUUGAUGGUUUAUACUUGAGGGAUUUUUAAAACUAUAUUCAACAUAACAGCAUCGAACUCUUAUCAACAACUUUAUUGGUUCUGUAUGGCUUCUGCUUCUUUUGGAAAUAAUAAAAUUAUUUAACAUUGCUGACUGGCAAAUGCUAUAGGUAACAUGUAAAAUAAUAGACUCGAAUUUUAUAUAAAAUAAGGUAAGCUAUCACAAUUAUGUAUUGCAUUAAGAAUUAAAUAAUAGUACUCAUGUACUGCAUUGAACGGGUAAUAAUUCUUUGAAUAUGAAAAAUAACUCAAGCAAAAGUUGAAAAUAUUAUGUUCCAAGCCACAUCAAAUAUAAUUACUUUUAAUUCAACCUUCUAGACUAUAUUUCCAAGGUUUUGAUUGAAAUUGA
rnacentral:lncRNA from 1 species